rnacentral:tRNA from 1 species
GCAACACGCCCACACACUAAAAUAUUUACUUUCAAGAAUAUUGAUAUUAACCUCCUUAC